GUAAGAAGAAGUUAGUUCUACAAGAACAGUGAGGAGGCUAAUAUUCAGUACAACAUGGUCUUCUACGCAAACUUCUUUCACAAUCUUCAACAUAGAUCAUCAAACAUCAUUCAAACAUCACCAAGGACAACAUUAGUGUUUGCAGACCGAGGCAGUUCACAGACAGAGCUGGAACCUGGACUGGUGCACCUGGUUGUGUCCGUCUCCAGUAGAUGAUGUCAGUGAUCCUCAUAUGGCCUGGAAAAGGCAAAGCAGGAGAUUUUUUGAUACACAAACACAAGAAGUUCAGCUGCAAUGUUGGGCGAAGAGAACAAUCAUUAUGAAUCUAUAUCAAGGGAAGCUUUGAUUCAAUGACGCAGAUCAGCACCCAGGCAUUCGCAAAGGUCAGCACUGUGUGGAGAAAGAACAACACCAAUCUGAACGACAGCAUCUGCACAGAUUACACAGAGAAACAAGCCUCCCCACUGUCCUUGGACCCGCUUCAAGAAGCAGUGAGUGGGUUCGUUACUUUCUACUCAGUCAGUCUGAGAAGACAAUGCGUCCUCUUUUUCUGAAGGACAAAAGCGAGGUCAUACUCUGUCUCCUCAGACAACCUUCUCUUGUCACACUUGGACUGUAUGCAUCAUGGUGGGUUAUGUCACAAGAGCUCUGCUACAAGACCUUCUUGUGCUGGCAUACCACUCGUCUGUAGGCCAGAUCUCUCCAGUUUAGGGACAGAUUGUUAUGCA